rnacentral:rRNA from 1 species
CAGCAGCCGCAGGAAUACAGAGGGUGCAAGCGUUAAUCGGAAUUACUGGGCGUAAAGCGCGCGUAGGUGGUUUGUUAAGUUGGAUGUGAAAGCCCCGGGCUCAACCUGGGAACUGCAUCCAAAACUGGCAAGCUAGAGUACGGUAGAGGGUGGUGGAAUUUCCUGUGUAGCGGUGAAAUGCGUAGAUAUAGGAAGGAACACCAGUGGCGAAGGCGACCACCUGGACUGAUACUGACACUGAGGUGCGAAAGCGUGGGGAGCAAACAGGAUUAGAUACCCCGGUAGUCCCUGUCUCUUAUAA